CCCCCCCCCCCCCCCCCCCCCCCCCCCCCCCCCCCCCCCCCCCCCCCCCCCCCCCCCCCCCCCCCCCCCCCCUACACGACGCUCUUCCGAUCUCUCAGGAUCCCCCUGCUCCCCGCAUUCCCAGGAUCUCUCUGCAUUCCCAGAUCUCUCCCUGCCCCGUCUCUCUCGGUGCCAGCGCCGUGCCCUGGCGCCGGUUUUGUGGCACUAAUCUGGGCCCUAUCGCUGCUAAAGCCGCGAUUAUCCCGGGAUUAGCGCUGCUGCUUAGGGACCCACCUGGGCCAGUGCCAGAGCUGUGGCCACCACACCGUGCCCAGUGGCCACUGUCACCUCGGGUGACCCCUGUCCCUCUGGUGUGGGGGCUGGGCAGAGGCUGUGGGGUUUUGGGGCUGUUUUUUGGGCUGGGAGCGCCGUGGCCGUGUCCCCGUUGUGUCUGAGGUUCAUCCGAGCAAGGCCGGGCUGGAUUCUGGGGCUGGGAGCAGCCUGGGAUAGCGGGAGGUGUCCCUGCCCAUGGAGUGGAUGGAUUUGGGAUUCAUCCCAAACCCUUCUGGGAUUCUGUGAUCCCAUCCCAGCAUCACUGUAGGUGUUUUUUUGUGGAACUGGGAUUUUUGGCAUGUUUCUGGCAAAGCCUGGCUUUGGAGCUGUGAUUCCGUGGCUCCAUCCCAGCAUCACUGUAGGUGGUUUUUUGGGUCAGCUGGGAUUUAUGGCACAUUUAUGGCACAGCCUGGCUUUGGGACCAUGAUUCUGGAAUUCCAUCCCAUCACUGUAGGUGGUUUUAUUGGUGGAACUGGGAUUUUUGGCAUGUUUCUGGUUCAUUUCUGGCACGUUUCUGGCAAGCCUGGCUUUGGGGCUGUGAUCCUGUGAUCCCAUCCCAUCAUCAUUUUAGGUGUUUUUUUUGGGGGAACUGGGAUUUUUGGCACAUUUAUGGCACAGCCUGGCUUUGGGACCAUGAUUCUGGAAUUCCAUCCCAUCACUGUAGGUGGUUUUAUUGGUGGAAGUGGGAUUUUUGGCACAUUUAUGGCACAGCCUGGCUUUGGGACCAUGAUUCUGGAAUUCCAUCCCAUCACUGUAGG
rnacentral:lncRNA from 1 species